CAGAAGCUGAUUUCUCCCAAUUCUUUAAGUUGGGGAUCAUGAAACAAAUCUGAUCAUAGAGAGCAAAGCUUUCUCUUUCAUUAUCAAUAAGCGUAGUUCAUGAAUUUUGCACCAGGUUGUGUUACUAGCGCAAUUUAGUGAGCACCCCAUCGGGGGGCAUUUUAAAUUUUGCGCGAGUUAUCCCACGUGCAGUCCCACGUGAAGCCAACGUCACGUCUCGGAGUCUGCGCAGUUCAGAAGCAAGGAGACAGUGCCGGAGAACGCUUCGUGUCUAGCUAUUAUACGCAGAUACAAGAGAACUACAAGAAAGUUGAAUAUUUUGUAGGCAACACUGAUAUCACUGAUGAUGUCAUCAUGGCAGCCAUGAACCUUAUGCAUCUUUAUGCAAAUCGCCUCAAAUACGAAGGACAUAUCGGUUACUAUUCUCCAGCAGAGUUGCACUUUCUAUCUCAAAGUGAAGAUUCUAACAAACGUCCACCACCAAUACCAGCAGACAAGGACUCAAUAUUAAUCCAUCCUCUAAAAAACCAUUGGAGUACAUCAUACUAUCAUUCUACGUCUAAAAGAAUUUACAUCUACGAUUCUUUAAUGUCCUCGGAACAUUUGCAACGAACAUUCCUCCAGUUAUGCCUUGUCUACAACCAGAUAAACAAUGAUAAUGUGGAAUAUGUUGAUGUGACGCAACAAUCAAGUGACCCUAUUUGUGGCAUCAUGGCCAUAGCCUUUGCAUUCUCAUGUCUUCUUGGAUUGAACCCGAAAAAAAAAAAUUAUGAUACAUAUUGGAAAUACUAACAGUCGUUCAUUCACGGGAUGCCACCUCCAAGCACUAAUCACCACUGUUUCCAUAAACAUGAAGAUGUCCACCCCCUCGGAUUUAUACUGAAAUCUUCACUGGCUGAAAUCAGCAUCACGGUACAACAAUUCAUCACGGUACAACAGUUCAGGUAUAUACUAGUACUCUCAAGAGAGUCUUGCUACUUAUAUAGCCAUACAUAUGCAAUGAAGACUACAGCCAUCUUCAUCAUGCACGAUUUACUUACAGUAAGGUACUUGCUGUUACACUUCAGUUCAGUUCAUUCUCAAUGUUUUCAGACUCGAUGAAUAAUUGAGAAAUGACACACAUUCUAAUAUACUAGUACACAAAAUGCAUCAAUGAUUAAAUACAGAUGCUUGUAGUCUUCAUCAUAUAUCUAUGCCUGUAUAACUUCAGUUAUGCUAACUCCAUGAAGGUACUGUAAUUUCUAAAUAAAAACUUCUCAUAUACA